GGACCAAAUGGACGUAGGCCAGGCUGGACAGUACCCAUAUCUGACAUAGGCCAAGCCCCAGGCCAACCCCAGGCCAAGCCCCAGGCCAAGCCCCAGGCCAAGCCCCAGGAGCCCCAGGCCAAGCCCCAGGCCAAGCCCCAGGAGCUCCAGGCCAAGCCCCAGGAGCUCCAGGCCAAGCCCCAGGAGCUCCAGGCAAAGCCCCAGGAGCUCCAGGCAAAGCCCCAGGCAAAGCCCCAGGCAAAGCCCCAGGAAAAGCCCCAGGCAAAGCCCCAGGAGCUCCAGGCAAAGCCCCAGGCAGAGCCCCAGGCAGAGCCCCAGGAGCCCCAGGCCGAGCCCCAGGAGCCCCAGGCAAAGCCCCAGGCAAAGCCCCAGGCAAAGCCCCAGGGGCAAAGCCCCAGGCAAAGCCCCAGGAACUCCAGGCAAAGCCCCAGGCAGAGCCCCAGGCAGAGCACCAGGCAGAGCACCAGGCAGAGCCCCAGGUGCCCCAGGCAAAGCCCCCAGGCAAAGCCCCAGGCAAAGCCCCAGGCAAAGCCCCAGGAACUCCAGGCAAAGCCCCAGGCAGAGCCCCAGGCAGAGCCCCAGGCAGAGCACCAGGCAGAGCACCAGGCAGAGCACCAGGCAAAGCCCCAGGCAAAGCCCCAGGCAAAGCCCCAGGAACUCCAGGCAAAGCCCCAGGCAGAGCCCCAGGCAAAGCCCCAGGCAAAGCCCCAGGCAAAGCCCCAGGCAAAGCCCCAGGAACUCCAGGCAAAGCCCCAGGCAAAGCCCCAGGAACUCCAGGCAAAGCCCCAGGCAGAGCCCCAGGCAGAGCACCAGGCAGAGCACCAGGCAGAGCCCCAGGUGCCCCAGGCAAAGCCCCAGGCAAAGCCCCAGGCAAAGCCCCAGGAACUCCAGGCAAAGCCCCAGGCAGAGCACCAGGCAGAGCACCAGGCAGAGCACCAGGCAGAGCACCAGGAACUCCAGGCAAAGCCCCAGGCAGAGCCCCAGGCAGAGCCCCAGGAGCCCCAGGCCGAGCCCCAGGAGCCCCAGGCAAAGCCCCAGGCAAAGCCCCAGGCAAAGCCCCAGGCAAAGCCCCAGGAGCUCCAGGCAAAGCCCCAGGCAAAGCCCCAGGAACUCCAGGCAAAGCCCCAGGCAGAGCCCCAGGCAGAGCACCAGGCAGAGCCCCAGGCAGAGCCCCAGGCAGAGCCCCAGGUGCCCCAGGCAAAGCCCCAGGCAAAGCCCCAGGCAAAGCCCCAGGAACUCCAGGCAAAGCCCCAGGCAAAGCCCCAGGAACUCCAGGCAAAGCCCCAGGCAAGCCCCAGGCAAGCCCGGCCAAGCCCCGGGCCAAGCCCCAGGAGCCCCAGGCAAAGCCCCAGUCAAAGCCCCAGGAGCCCCAGGCAAAGCCCCAGGAGCCUCAGGCAAAGCCCCAGGCCGAACACCAGGCAAAGCCCCGGGCAAAGCCCCGGGCAAAGCCCCGGGCAAAGCCCCAGGAGCCCCAGGCAGAGCCCCGGGCAGAGCCCCGGGCAAAGCCCCGGGCAAAGCCCCGGGCAAAGCCCCGGGCAAAGCCCCGGGCAAAGCCCCAGGAGCCCCAGGCAGAGCCUCAGGCAGAGCACCAGGCAAAGCACCAGGCAAAGCCCCAGGCAAAGCCCCAGGAGCCCCAGGCAAAGCCCCAGGAGCCCCAGGCAAAGCCCCAGGCAAAGCCCCAGGCAAAGCCCCAGGCAAAGCCCCAGGCAAAGCCCCAGGAGCUCCAGGCAAAGCCCCAGGCAAAGCCCCAGGCAAAGCCCCAGGCAAAGCCCCAGGCAAGCCCCAGGCCAGGCAGCCCCAGGCCAAGCCCCAGGCCAAGCCCCAGGCCAAGCCCCAGGAGCCCCAGGCCAAGCCCCAGGAGCCCCAGGCCAAGCCCCAGGCAAAGCUCCAGGCAAAGCCCCAGGCAAGCCUCUUGGUGGUAAGGGCCAUGCGCCUGGGACAGCCAGUUCAGGUCUAGGCCAAGAGGAUGGAAUGAAACCAGGCCUCCCUCUAGGCCCAAAUGAAGGGCCAGGGACAGUCUCAGUCAUGGAGACCCGAGUCUGCUGUAGCCCCAGGGGGCCACGAAACUCAUCGGCCUGA
rnacentral:lncRNA from 1 species